GGCCGCGUGGCCUAAUGGAUAUGGCGUCUGACUUCGAAUCAGGAAGUUGUGGGUUCGAGUCCCAUCGUGGUCA
rfam:Oikopleura dioica, whole genome shotgun assembly, reference scaffold set, scaffold scaffold_24